UACGGGGGGGGCAAGCGUUGUUCGGAAUUACUGGGCGUAAAGCGUGCGCAGGCGGUUGUGCAAGACAGAUGUGAAAUCCCCGGGCUUAACCUGGGAACUGCAUUUGUGACUGCACGGCUAGAGUGUGUCAGAGGGGGGUAGAAUUCCACGUGUAGCAGUGAAAUGCGUAGAUAUCAAGAGGAACACCAGUGGCGAAGGCGAGUCCCUGGACAACACCUGACACUGAGGCAACGAAAGCUAGGGGAGCAAACAGG
rnacentral:rRNA from 1 species